UCACAGAACCGCUAGAUCCCUGAGGUGCAUGUGUGUGUCACUAAAGCACAUGGAGCUGUAGCUGUCUUUCUGUAAAUGAUGUCACUUGACAUGGAAUAAGGUGAAAAUCAAGUAUAGAACUUGCAACACCUGCCAGACAGAAAAAAAAUUGCAUUUGCAGUUUUUGGAUUGCAGCUCCAAUACACAAAGCCUUAAAUUGUGAGACUUAAAUGAUUUUAGGUACUGAUGAGUCCUAGUACAGGAAGGAGUUUGACAUGUUUGACCCAAAAAGGCACUUGAAAAUUGCCAAAUAUGUCAUUUAGUAGUGGACCUAUUGCUUGAAUCAGAAAGUUGGCAGAGGUUGUUUACCAUUCC
rnacentral:lncRNA from 1 species